GUUGCUAGUAAUCGCGAAUCAGAAUGUCGCGGUGAAUACGUUCCCGGGCCUUGUACACACCGCCCGUCACACCAUGAGAGCUGGUAACACCCGAAGUCCGUGAGGCAACCGUAAGGAGCCAGCGGCCGAAGGUGGGAUUAGUGAUUGGGGUGAAGUCGUAACAAGGUAGCCGUAGGAGAACCUGCGGCUGGAUCACCUCCUUUCUAAGGAGA
rnacentral:rRNA from 1 species